UACGUAGGGUGCAAGCGUUAAUCGGAAUUACUGGGCGUAAGGCGUGCGCAGGCGGUGAUGUAAGACAGAUGUGAAAUCCCCGGGCUCAACUUGGGAACUGCAUUUGUGACUGCAUCGCUGGAGUGCGGCAGAGGGGGAUGGAAUUCCGCGUGUAGCAGUGAAAUGCGUAGAUAUGCGGAGGAACACCGAUGGCGAAGGCAAUCCCCUGGGCCUGCACUGACGCUCAUGCACGAAAGCGUGGGGAGCAAACAGG
rnacentral:rRNA from 1 species